UACAGAGGGUGCGAGCGUUAAUCGGAAUUACUGGGCGUAAAGCGCACGUAGGUGGCGACGUAAGUCGGGUGUGAAAGCCCCGGGCUCAACCUGGGAAUUGCAUUCGAGACUGCAUUGCUGGAGUACGGAAGAGGAGGGCGGAAUUCCUGGUGUAGCGGUGAAAUGCGUAGAUAUCAGGAGGAACACCGGCGGCGAAGGCGGCCCUCUGGAUCGUUGCUGACGCUGAUACGCGAAAGCGUGGGGAGCAAACAGG
rnacentral:rRNA from 1 species